ensembl:lncRNA
UAUUUGCGUUUUUUUUUUUUCUCUUUAAUGAAUAUAUCUCUGCUUUUCUUCCUCCCCCAUUCAUCUUGCUGAACUUCCCUGUGCAGAGCAAUGCCUCAGUGCCAGGAUGAUGGAACUCUUCAUCUACAAGGUGGAAAGAAAAACUGAGCUCAAAGCUGAGAUGCUCUGGAAGGUGCUGACAAAAGACAGCAUGAAACGCUGUCACCUCUUGAACGGAGGGUGGCAAACAACUAUCAUUGUGUGGCAUGUGACAAGAAUCUUGCAAAAUGCCAUUCCAGGAAAGGUAAAAUGGAGCAGAUCCAGUUUGCUUCACUGACCUGAACGGUUAGUGGAAAUAUUUCAAGGCAGCUGCUAUCCUCGUUGCAACCAUGAAGAACAUCUGCCAUCUGUUAUCAAGAGUCUGAAACCUUAGCUAGCAGCUACCCUGCUGAAUGUUUUUAAUACCUGUAAAAUAACACUGAUGCACCAGCUGCAGUACAGAUUAAGGACAAACACAGAAACACUUGCAAAAAGCAAAGCGUCUCUGCAUGUGUGAGCACCCAAAGAAAUAUUUCAUCUUCACAGAACAGGAUGUUUUAAAUUAGAUGCUCAAAUCUCCUUCCCUGCAAGCAAAUUCUUGUGUAAAUCCUGUAAAGCCCUUCCUAGAGAAAAUUUGGAAGGCUAGAUUUGCUUUGUAUACAUUUUCUGUUUGCUAAUCAGUGUAUUCCAUUGCAGACCCAUCCCAGCUGGGAGAGAGUAAUCCACCCCUCCCAGGACAUCAAAUUAAAGUAGCAACAGGAAGUCUUUGUAUAGUCUUUGGGAAGCAACGUUAGAAUGAACAACAACAGAAUUUUGUCUCUUCUCUCUGCCACGUAAGGUGAAAUGCAGAGGAGAUGGCAGGCAUUACUUUACUAUGUCCAAGGACAGAGAUCUGGGAUGAGGCUCUGGUUGUC